UGCCCGGUGACUGUAAGGUUAAACGGCCGCGGUAUUUUUGACUGUGCGAAGGUAGCGUAAUCAUUUGCUCUUUGAUUGGGGGCUGGAAUGAAUGGCAAGACAGGGGCUAGGCUGUCUCUUCUUUAAUUUUUUGAAUCUGAUAUUACUGUGAAGAAGCGGUGAUGCGGCCGUAAGACGAGAAGACCCUGUUGAGCUUGAUUGAGGGCGGCUUUGAUGUUGUUUGUUAAGGUCUUGGGAACUAAUUUUUGUUUAUUUGAAUGGAUGUAAGUAAGGUUAUUUCUGGGGAGAAAUGAGAAGUUGUUUUUUGUUUGGUUGGGGCAACCACGGAGUAGAAAAAUCCUCCGUUUGAUUGGGUAGAAAAAGGUACUGCUUUGUUGUAAUAGUUUUUGCUUUUAAGAUCCACCAUUGGUGAUUGUAGGAAUUAGUUACCACAGGGGUAACAGCGUUAUUUUUUUGGAGAGUUCAUAUUGAUAAGGAAGUUUGCGACC
rnacentral:rRNA from 1 species